rnacentral:rRNA from 1 species
CGACGGUAACCAACCCCAUGGUUGGGCAUAGCCGAGGGAAACUUCGGGUAAUUCCCAGCGACGUCAUGAUGCGGCAUCGCAUCGUGACCAAAGAUUCAUCGCCAUGGGACGGGCCGUUGUGGUAUUAGCUAGUUGGUGGGGUGACGGCCCACCAAGGCUUUGAUGCCUACCGGGUGUGCGAGCAUGGCCCGGCACACUGGGACUGAGACACUGCCCAG